rnacentral:rRNA from 1 species
GGCAGACGGGAGAGUACACGUGGGAACGUACCUUCAGGUUCGGAACAACCAGGAAACUUGGGCUAUACCGAAUACGGUGCGUAAGGCAGCAAAGAUUUAUCGCUGAAGGAUCGGCCCGCGUCUGAUCAGCUUGUUGGUGAGUGUAACGGCUCACCAAGGCUACGAUCAGUAGCUGGUCUGAGAGGAUGAUCAGCCUCACUGGGACUGAGACACGGCCCAGACUCCUACGGGAGGGAGCAGUGGGGAAUAUUGGACAAUGGGCGCAAGCCUGAUCCAGCCAUGCCGCGUGGGUGAUGAAGGCCCUAGGGUUGUAAAGCCCUUUCGGCGGGGAAGAUAAUGACGGUAACCAGCAGAAGAAGCCCCCGGCUAACCUUCGUGCCAGCAGCCGCGG